rnacentral:tRNA from 1 species
GGGGAUUUAGCUCAGCGGCAUAAGCACCUGCCUUGCAAGCAGUUGGUUGUGAGUUCGACUCCCCAGUACCGA